GCGCAGCAGGCGAGAAUUUUUCACAAUGGGGGAAACCCUGAUGGAGCGACGCCGCGUGGAGGAUGAAGGCGUUUUCGUCGUAAACUCCUGUCAAACGGGAACAAGAAAGUGAUAGUACCGUUAGAGGAAGAGACGGCUAACUCUGUGCCAGCAGCCGCGGUAAUACAGAGGUCUCAAGCGUUGUUCGGAUUCAUUGGGCGUAAAGGGUGCGUAGGUGGCUUGGUAAGUUGAAGGUGAAAUCUCGGGGCUUAACUCCGAAACUGCCUUCAAUGCUGCUGAGCUCGAGGAUUGUAGAGGAGAAUGGAAUUCACGGUGUAGCAGUGAAAUGCGUAGAUAUCGUGAGGAAGACCAGUGGCGAAGGCGAUUCUCUGGGCAAUUCCUGACACUGAGGCACGAAGGCCAGGGAAGCAAACGGGAUUAGAUACCCGCGUAGU
rnacentral:rRNA from 1 species